rnacentral:lncRNA from 1 species
GUGCUUAAAGAACAGUAUCUCAGCUACAGAAAAAUGUUUUUGGGUGAUGCUGGGGAUGUGUUUGAAGCCAGGAGAACAGAAGCCAAGAAGUGGCAGAAUGCACCCAGAGUUACUACUGGACCCACGCCUUUCAGCACCAUGCCAAACGCAGCAGCCGUUGCCAUGGCUGCAACACUUACACAGCAGCAACAGCCUGCUACAGGUCUGAAUGCAUUCAAGUUAUAGCUUCUUACUGUUCAAAUGCAGAGAACAUUAUGUGCAUUUUUAUAAGUCUUCCUUUUAUGUGAGCACUGACAAAAUUUCUAUGAAUAGCUGUUCCAAUCUAAAAUGUGAUAGACACAAUUAUAAACAUACCUGAGACAAAAGGCAGGGUAGUUUAGCAAUAACUAUACAUCCGAUGCUGACCAUUGUGAAUUUACUUACUGUUAUUUGCUGUAUUGCUAUAGACACCCUUUAGAAUAUAGUGUUUCACUACUGAAUUACACUUAAGAAAACAUUAGAUUCUCAAGUUGUGAUUGUGCUCUCUAUUGUUUUAAAGUCAGAGGUAAUCCAUGUACCACGUGUUGCAUUUUUUAGGUAUGAUAAUUGAUGGUGCAUUCUCAGUCUCGUAUAUGAUUGCAGAGUACUAACAAUCUGGAUGCAGUUACAUUUCUAUUGAAGAUGUGUGUUUAAGGUUAAUAGGUCUAUUUGGAUGUACUUUGACUAGAAAAAAUAACAGUUCCUCUAAAAGAGAGGAAAUGAGGUUUGAAGAAGAUGCAUGCUGGGGUUUUUUAACUCUAGUGGACUGAGCACUAGCGAGACCGGGAAGGGUCGAGCUUGGCUUGCGCACCGUGGAGACCUCAGUCCUUGGUUGGAUACCGUUUGCAGUGUUCUGUGCUGUGGUUCUUCAGUGAUGCAUUUGGAAUUUUGGAAGUUGAUCAGUUGUCUUAUUCCUGGUAGUUUUUAUCGGGUUUGAAGUUUGACAUAGAAAAGUGCAGUCUUAAUAGUUUACCUUUCCUCCCUUGAUGAUUUAUAAAUUUUUGAGUGAGCCUUAUUCUGUAGUGUAUGUCUUUCUGACAGUUUCAUAUAAUCUAGUAGUAAACUGCAAUAUUAAAAAGUAAAAACUAAACAAAAUAGAUGUUU